rnacentral:rRNA from 1 species
GGACUACUGGGGUAUCUAAUCCCGUUUGCUACCCUAGCUUUCGCGCCUCAGCGUCAAGAACAGGCCAGGAAGUCGCCUUCGCCACUGGUGUUCCUCCCGAUAUCUACGCAUUUCACCACUACACCGGGAAUUCCACUUCCCUCUCCUGCCUUCGAGUCGAACAGUAUCGCGUGACCCUCCCCAGUUGAGCCGGGGGCUUUCACACGCGACUUGUACGACCGCCUGCGCGCUCUUUACGCCCAGUAAAUCCGGACAACGCUCGCCACCUACGUAUUACCGCGGCUGCUGGCAC